GCAGGAAUUUACAUUAUUAGAAGAGCAUGAAAACUGCUGCUCAGAAACAUUUACUUUCCCCUAAGGCCACCUUCUUUCUAGGCAGGGGAGGGGGCUAGACAAGGGUCCUGGAAUCCAUUUCAUUAUCCCAACUUUAUUUUGAGCUUAUUUCCAUUUUAUAGCCAUGGAAACCUUCAAGUACUACUACACAUCCAUCACCACCACCUGAGGCCAAAGGCCCAGAACAUUCUAUAGCACUGUCUUAACAAAUAUCCUUAAACACUGAUUUUUUUCAGAUUAGGACUAAAGAUUUAAAUGUUUCUUUAUCAUGCACUGCAUUUCUCAACAUGCACAACAGUUGCAGGAUGGGUGAGAGAAUGUGACUAAAGAGUACUGAAAUACCCCACAGAAACUUAACUUCUGUAAGGAUGGACUCAUCCCCACCAACCUGGACAUCUGAUCAAGUGACCGUCUUCAACGCUGUUAUUUGAACAAAUUGUAAUUCACACACAUACACAUCUGCAACAGAUUUAUUUUUUAAAGGAAUGGAUUUUGAGAGAAAACGUGGGCAGAAGUAUGGAAUAGAAAAUAAAUACAAAUGUAGGCUAUUCUGCUAAUUGUUUUAUAACCACGACAAACUAGUACAGAGAAUGCCCUGUACAAAACACAACAAAGGUUCAAACAUCGAGAUGUUCCCUUAGCAAGGCUGAAAAUUUCAGUCUCUGGUAUUUGGAAUUUAGGCUGCAGUCCUUGUUUUUGGAUGGAUCACUGGGUGUGUGGCACAGUCCAUGCUUUUAACCAGAUUUGAACAGAAGAAUGGCCACUUGGCCCAGGUAGAAGUAGAUGAAGUGUUUGGUUUCAUGUGUCACAUAACUACCGAAGUUCCUCCCCACGAUGCAAUGCCAGGUGGGAUUGUACUUCUUGUCAAAUUCCUGGGAAAGACAAAAGAAAAGAACUAGAAUUUUAAUUACCAGAGGUCAGUGUUUGCCUCUUGGAUAAGCCAGAGCCUGUAGGGGCAGAAAGGAGGAACGUCAGCAUCUGCAAAUUCUUAGAAUGAAAGAAUGUUCCCCAGCUCCAAGCCGCCUACAUAGUACAUUAAUACAAACAUACUUGCAGUCUGAGCGAAGAUGGGAAUGGAGGCUGAGGAGGUCAAAGGACGAAAGGUCAGCCUUAAAGACAGGGUGUUUUGUUAUUAUGGUAAUUACACCUUCAUACCUUCUAUAAUAUUCAUUGACAGACGGUGACAUCAACAGGUGUAGUUUAUCAUGUUCUGUGUAGAGAACUAAACUACCCUACUGUAUUUGCCGUGCCCCCAAUUCCAAGAAAACGGCAAAAAAUUAGCCCAUCCCAUUCCUCAUCACAAAGAUCUUAACUGCAUCCCUGCAACACAAGACUUUUCCAAUAGGACAAAACUUCAAACAGCAUUGUAUACCAAAUGAUUGCGGAUCAAAAUUAAAUUUACAGGGACACAAUACUGAAGCACUCCACUGUUGCUGUAAAAACUGCUGGAAACAGAAUCUGUCAACUGGCCAAAUUUUAUCCUUAAUUAUUAUCCAAACAGCCGUCCUCUUCACAUCUAUCCGGAUGAUGCUAAUCUACUACCCUGUCCACUAGGUUAGCAAGUUGUAGGAACAACUCUUCACCAUUUCUCCCACCCUAAGAGGUACUGGGGAGUAGAAUGCCUGUGGGGGGCAUUGGGUGGCAACGGUUAUCUUUCUCUGCGAAAUUCUUACAAGUGUUUGUGGAGCGUCACACAAGAUUUAGCUACUCUAACUGCACGCAGUGCGAAAACCUUUUAAAGCUAUGAAGGGGAGUAACGCUCUUGCAAGCUAGAGGCACGCACUGCUGCGUUUGUCAAAAAAGGCAUUUAUUUCUGUUCCAUCUGAAGUCUUUCAUCUUCCCAUUCUCGACUGGAACCCUCCCACGGCUUAGGCUGCCAGCUUUCUUCCCUUCCAGCAAACACUGCUCGAGAAGUUGGCAGUCCUGCCGGCUUUCUAGACUGCCAUUUACCAAGCCCCCACCCCAGCCCCCAGCCCCGCCACCACCCACCUUCCCUCAACUCCCCACUGGAAGGUUGGCAAGAUCUCCUCCCGGCCCGGCUGGAAACACCCACGCAGCUCCCCCCUCCGGAACACCCAGAUGGAUCCUCGGCGCAGGAACCACACAGAAGGGGGAACCGCUGCUCCCUGAUCUUAGAUACCGUUGCUAGGUGGCGCUUUCCCCCCGCGGAGCUGGGUAAUUAAAAAAAAAAAAAAAACUUCGGACGCCGGGGGUCUGGUCUUCUCCACAGGAGCGCAAAAUGCAUCUGCGUCCUUUCUGGAAGCUUCUACGCCCCAAGCCGCCAGCGGUGUUCCCGGGACCUGUCAGGCGCCCUUAGGAAAGCAGGAUCGGGGGGAAGGAACCCCCUGCUCCCGGCUGCGUAUCGGCCCCCGCGCCCAUCCUCACCUUCUUGAUAUGAGCCGCAAUGUCCUUCUCUAUGUUGUAUUUCUCCAGCGCCUGAGUAGCGCACUCCACCGAGUCCUGUUGCAUCUCUUCCGACAUGUCCGCAUUUUUGAUCACGGCCUUUCGGUCGCACAUGGUUACCUAGUGGGCAAGGCCUGGGGUGAGGGGUUGAGUUGGGCCGCGCCCCCCAGGCACUAACUGCCCCCACCCCGGCCGGCGCCACCACGGGACGACGCCCCCCCCCCCCCUUCUCAGGAAGCGCGGGCUACGCGGCUGGCUAAGUCUGGAGUGGGGCGAAAUAAGGCAGCGAGGACACCCCCUGGCCCCCCGAGUUUCUCACCGUGGAGAAGGGGGCUGGCCGACUGCAACGGUCUCCUGGGGGAGGUGCUAGCACAGCUCAGGCCCGGCUAGAGCUACCGUCGCUACCGAAGCCGUGGCGCAUCUAAGCAGCCCCACGCCAGCCGCCGCCGCCUAGUGCUCAGGCCCCGCCCUGCUCCCGCCGGCCCCGCCCCUCGCCGCGCGACCCUAUUGGCUUGACGCAGCCCACGGCAUUCUUCCAUUGGUCCAUGGACUCCAUGGUUCCCUCAGGAUCUUUCUCCUGCAUUUUGUUGCAGACCACAAUGCACCGCUCACGGCGUCGGUUGCCCGGGCAAUGGGCCGCACGCUACGAGGCCCACACACCCAGAAGGUGGAGCCCCGGCCCGGUUACGAGGACCACCCAGCUGUCUGGAGAGAUGAAGAAAAUGAGGUUCAAAGAGAUGAAGUCUCUUGCCUGAAGUCAGUGACAGAAAGUGACAGAGCUGGGAUGUGAAUCCUGGUCUGACUCCACAGUCCCACAUGGUAGAUGGAACCUCUGAGCAACACCUAAACAAAGGGAGCUGAUGCCUCCGAACAGAGUGAUGUCACUGGAGACACUAAGCAUCGUCGGCCCCUGGCGGGAGCUCCCUAAAUAUGUGUUGGAUGGAUGGAAGAAAGGAUGGAUAGUUCAGAGUACUUCAGCCUUGAUUCCUCCGCAACAGACACCUCAAACUUGACCCUACAUUGGUUCUUGGCCAUCGUGAUCUUCCUUGGACAGAAUCACCUUUCAGCUCCGGUCAUCAGACUUUCCCAGGGCCCUCAGAAAGCCCUUCAGAGUUGUUACUCACAGGCAGGCUGAGGGAUUCCUUACGGGGUCUGCAGCUCUCCUCACCUCAUCCACAAGUAGGACCGUGGCCUGUGCCUCACUACUGCCCCAGGAUCACUCUGUUCCCAGCCCAGUCCAGCAAUCACUUGUCUAGCUUUCUGGAACCUUGAGUACUUUCUUGAACCAUGAGUCCUGUGACCACCCUAGCAGCUCUAACCCUCCCUUACCUGAAAGGAAGUGUGAGGUGACCUUGCAGGUCCCAGAGUUGAUUGAAGACCCCAUCCAGAAAGAAGGCACCCUGUGGGAGAGAUUGCAAGGCCUAGGUCUGAAUCCGGAAGCUUCCACCCCAUGGAGAAGGGCUGGCACCAGCCUGGGGCUGGCAGUGGAGCUGAGCUUUGGAGCCAAGGACUGUACUGCAGUGCAGGGAGAGUGAGGCCAGAAAGGCUGAGACAACUCAGGGAAAGAAAACCUCCCUUCUGGCUAAUAGUCAAGCACCGCCUGAGUGGACCAACACUCUCCUGUCCACAGGGGCAGCAGAUGAAGACACAUCCAGAGAGGACUAACAGGCCCCCUCAGCUCCCAGUCAGAGGGCAGAGCAACACAGAAUAGACAUUAAAGGAACAGACUUUGAGGCCAGGCAGCCUUGGGUGUGCAUCUGUCCCUACUAAGCCAUGUGACAUUAAACAAGUGAGUCCACCUCUCUGAGCCUCAGGUUCCUCAUCUGUAAAAUGGGGAUUAUAAGAGUUCUUGUUUCUCAGGGACAAUGUGAGGAUUAAGUGAGAUGAUACACAUAGAGAAUGUGGUGCAGUACUGGGCACAUGGCAAAGAUCAGUGAUGCUAGCUACCACUUAUCAUUAGUGUUCCUGUAGACCAGGACUUCUCAACCUUGGCACUAUUCACCUUUUGGGCCAGAAAGUUUUUUUUGUUGUUGUGGGGAGCUGUCCUAUGCAUUUGAGGAUGUUUAACAGCACCCCUGGCCUCUACCCACUAGAUGCCAAUCACACCACACCCCCAGUUUCAACAACCAAAAAUGUCUGCAGAUGGUGCCAAAUGUCUUCUGGAGGGUGAAAUCACUCCCCAGCCGUUGAAAAGCACCACCCUAAACAAUCUGGACUGAAUUUGAAUGUCACAGAUCCCAAGCUCACAGCUCCAUGUAAAGGCCACAAGGCAGGCAGGCCUACUUGCAGAUGAAGGAACGGAAAGAGCAACAAUUACAGAUCAAGUGGCUAGCUCCGGUGUAGACUAAGAGGCGGGAUCUGUAGUCUGCUCUAGGAGCUAACAAGGCCUCUGUGACUCAGUAGGUGACCUCAGUGUCACUCUUUAAUUAUAUGCAAAGUGGUCUUGUGUUAACUCUUAAUUAUUCUAGGGCUCCAAACAAGAAAAUAGGUAGUUGGUAUCUGAUUUCUGGCAUCAAGAUCCUGAUUCAUUGACUGGGAGAAAAUCUGACUCUCCAAAACUCUUUCAGAGUUCAUUUAGCCCUUCAUUUAUGACUCUGGGGAGAUUUCUGAGCGAGAGCUAGGUGUCAGGCCCUGUUCCAGGUGCUGGAGAUGCACAAGAGAACAAAAUAGGCAAAGUUUCCUUUUUAUGGAACUUAUAGCAGGAGA
rnacentral:lncRNA from 1 species